UACGUAGGGGGCAAGCGUUAUCCGGAAUUAUUGGGCGUAAAGAGUACGUAGGUGGUUACCUAAGCACGGGGUAUAAGGCAAUGGCUCAACCAUUGUUUGCCUUGUGAACUGGGCUACUUGAGUGCAGGAGAGGAAAGCGGAAUUCCUAGUGUAGCGGUGAAAUGCGUAGAUAUUAGGAGGAACACCAGUGGCGAAGGCGGCUUUCUGGACUGUAACUGACACUGAGGUACGAAAGCGUGGGGAGCAAACA
rnacentral:rRNA from 1 species